rnacentral:rRNA from 1 species
UUAGAAUCGCCGUGCUGUACAAGUCGGCUUUCCUUUCAUUUCCAAGACUAUGUUUUUAUAUACACCAAAGUAUGUUCAAAGAAUGUCAUCAAUGGGAACUUGUUUCCUAUAAAAUUAUACAACUUUCAGCAACGGAUCUCUUGGCUCUCGCAUCGAUGAAGAACGCAGCGAAAUGCGAUAAGUAAUGUGAAUUGCAGAAUUCAGUGAAUCAUCGAAUCUUUGAACGCACCUUGCGCUCCUUGGUAUUCCGAGGAGCAUGCCUGUUUGAGUGUCAUUAAAUUCUCAACCUUCCAACUUUUAUUAGCUUGGUUAGGCUUGGAUGUGGGGGUUGCGGGCUUCAUUAACGAGGUCGGCUCUCCUUAAAUGCAUUAGCGGAACUUUUGUGGACCGUCUAUUGGUGUGAUAAUUAUCUACGCCGUGGAUGUGAAGCAGCUUUAUGAAGUUCAGCUUCUAACCGUCCAUUUAUUUGGACAAUUUUUGACAAUUUGACCUCAAAUCAGGUAGGACUACCCGCUGA